UACAGAGGUGGCAAGCGUUGUUCGGAAUUACUGGGCGUAAAGGGCGCGUAGGCGGCCUUCUAAGUCAGACGUGAAAUCCCCCGGCUUAACCUGGGAACUGCGUCUGAUACUGGGAGGCUUGAGUAUGGGAGAGGGAUGUAGAAUUCCAGGUGUAGCGGUGAAAUGCGUAGAUAUCGUAAGGAAGACCAGUGGCGAAGGCGGGUCUCUGGACAGUUCCUGACGCUGAGGCACGAAGGCCAGGGGAGCAAACGGG
rnacentral:rRNA from 1 species